GUAGUUUGUGUUGUUUGUUU
rnacentral:miRNA from 1 species